CUUUUGUAAGACUCUGACCCAAAUAAAAUCUUUAGAUAUAAACAGAGCUUAUAUGAACACUGGGAGUGGGCAAAAACUUAGUAGCUUGUCCUUUUAGCUGACUUGUAUCAUUACAGAAGUAACCUACAUUCAUCAUUUAUACGAGUGAACCCACCAACAGGGGUGAUCCAGAUCUGAAAUGCCAGCAAACUCCCUGCACACAAUAUUCCUAGCACCUUAGUUGACCAUUUUGGGCCCAUAAGCAUUGUCAGUGAAAUGUUGCUGAUACCCUUCUAGACACCGUAAACAAAG